UUCAAUAGACAAUUGUGAUUUUCAAGCAUUUCAACUCUACAUUUUUACUCAAAUGACAUGGUUGUAAAUUUGAGAGGAGAAAUAGCCUUGCAAAUUCGAAUAAAAGUACAAGUCUCCUUUGAUUUGAGUAAAAGUCAGUAUUCGGCAAAAAUAGUUUCAGUCAAGAUUUGGUUGUAUACUUAAAGAAUAUACUUUGAGAGCUUAGUCACGAUGAACUUGAAAUGAGAACUAUCAAUUCAGUUGGAGUGACUUCAUGAACUGAUGAAAGGAUUAUAUAAUUAUACACAAUUUAUAACUAGACUUCUAUGUUUUUGUUGGAGUUGAACAUCGGGUCCAUAUGUUUGAAAUCUACAUCUAUCCACACGGAGCCUUUGGGUUUUGUUUCUGGAUUCCCAGUUUAUUGUUUUUUUCUAUGUCGGUGCUCGGAUUGGAGAGGUGAAGAGGGUUACAAAGAGAUCACUGUGGCAGUGAGAACAGAUUGAGAAGAUUGAGAGAGUUUGAUAGAGAACAAGAUAUGAGGAGAGAGUUGGGUGAACUUCUCAUGAAGCAAGAAACAUAUUGGGGUCAAUUUUUACCCAAAAACAAUAUUGGGAUCAACGGUCAAAGCUGAACUGGUUAAUGAUGGGAGAUCUUAACACCAGGUAUGUCCAUAUGGUGGCUAGUGGCUACUCUAAGGUGUCGGAUGAAGCGGAUUGCCUUUUUUUGGUCAAGGAAAAUGGGGAGUCUAGUUUUUGGCCACAGGAGAUCUCUACUCACAUUCUUGAACACUUCCGGGCCCUUUUCAGUGGUGUAGGGGUGGGGCAGAAUGGGAUUGUGCCGGAUGGGGAGUGUGCUACUCAUAUUGAUGUUCUUUCCAUAAUGGAUUAGCAUCUCACCGAAGAUCAAAGUGCUUGCUUAGUCAACCUUUCACUGUUUCGGAUGUUAAAAUGGCUUUGGAUCAAGUGGCGGGUUGGAAAUCUCCGGGUCCUGAUGGCAUACCAACUGCAUUUUACCAACAAGAGUGGUCGUGGUGGGGGAGGUGCUGACCUCUUCUGUAUUAUAUUUUCCUUCAGACUUGAUUUAUGCUUAAGGAGGUAAAUAGAACUUUGCUUAAGAAGAUCAAAGUGCUUGCUUAAUCAACCUUUUACUGUUUCGGAUGUUAAAAUGGCUUUGGAUCAAGUGGCGGGUUGGAAAUCUCCGGGUCCUGAUGGCAUACCAGCUGCAUUUUACCAACAAGAGUGGUCGUGGUGCUGACCUCUUCUGUAUUAUAUUUUCCUUCAGACUUGAUUUAUGCUUAAGGAGGAGAGGAGGGUCCAGGAAGGUCAACAACAUGGAAAACUGCUUUAGUGGGCACAUCUUCGGAACAGUGAACAUGCAUGCACGAUGGUGAAGCAUUUGUUUAACUUGGUGGAUCCUGAUCAUGAAGGUGAUUAGAACUUUUAAAGACCAAUGGAUGCCUAAGAUGCCUAAUCCCUUUGUUGCUUCUUCGGGUGUUCCGUCUAUAUUUCAAGGUGAUGUUUCAGUGUCUAGUCUUAUUGAUGCUGGAGCAAAAUUGUGGAGAGUUCCUUUGGUAAGGGCUUCAUUUUUUCCGGCUAAUAUUGUUCGCCACAUGUUGGCCAUCAACUUCCCUCGUAACAGGGAUCAAAAUCAGCUGGAUGAAAUAGUUUAGUGGCACUAGAAAGAUUGUAAGGAGGACCAGUUUUUAUUUCCCAAACCAAAUAAUGGAUUUCGGUCAGAUAAUCAUGGAAGGUGUCACAAAGGUGUUGUGAUAACUGAUGGAGCUUGGAAUAUAAAGGAUAUGCAUUCUAGUAUUGGAUGGGUUCUAACAGAGGAGGAGGGGGAAUUACUGGAGCAACAAGGCAGAAGUACCCUCGCUUCUUCAGCCUUUCACUCCGAAUGUCUGGCUUGCUUGGAUGCGAUGAUAUGGUGUUUCGAGCACAAUUUUUGUCAUAUCACAGUUGCUACGGAUUGCAGUUCACUGCUGGAUGGAAAGAAGGCUAUGAAAUGGCAAGAGGAACCGGUGAUUCGUGAAUUACAUUGUUUGUGCGAUGCUAUUUCUUUUGUAAGGUUAAUCGUGUUGUAGUGCAACAAGCUCAUGUAAUAGCGUAAGAUAUAAGAGCUCUAUAAUCUCUGCUGCAACUGUAUCUGUUUAAUUAU